GUGGCUGUAGUUCAACGGCAGAACGGCGGAUUGUGGAUCCGCUCAUAACGGUUCAAUUCCGUUCAGUCACC
rnacentral:tRNA from 1 species